GCGGGCGUGGCGGAAUUGGUAGACGCAGCAGGUUUAGGUUCUGCCGUCGAAAGAUGUGGGGGUUCGAGUCCCUCCGCCCGCACCA
rnacentral:tRNA from 4 species